rnacentral:rRNA from 1 species
UCGGGAAUUUUGGGCAAUGGGCGAAAGCCUGACCCAGCAACGCCGCGUGUGUGAAGAAGGCCUGAGGGUUGUAAAGCACUUUCAGAGGGGAGGAGGACUAUUAGGUUAAGAGCUAGAUAGUUGGACGUUACCCUCAGAAGCAGCACCGGCUAACUCCGUGCCAGCAGCCGCGGUAAUACGGGGGGUGCAAGCGUUGUUCGGAAUUACUGGGCGUAAAGCGUACGUAGGCGGUUAUUCAAGUCAGAGGUGAAAGCCUGGAGCUCAACUCCAGAACUGCCUUUGAAACUAGAUAGCUAGAAUCACGGAGAGGUGAGUGGAAUUCCGAGUGUAGAGGUGAAAUUCGUAGAUAUUCGGAAGAACACCAGUGGCGAAGGCGGCUCACUGGACGUGUAUUGACGCUGAGGUACGAAAGCGUGGGGAGCAAACAGGAUUAGAUACCCCGGUAGUCCCUGAGCGGGCUGGCAAGGCGCAU